rnacentral:tRNA from 2 species
GCUGUUGUAGCUCAGUUGGUAGAGCAACUGAUUCGUAAUCAGUAGGUCGGCAGUUCGAUUCUGCCCAACAGCACCA